rnacentral:tRNA from 1 species
GCCAUCGUAGCUCAGUAGGUGGAGCAUCCGGCUGUUAGCUGGUUAUUACCCAGGGCAGAGACCGGAAGGUCACCGGUUCGAGUCCGGUCGAUGGCG